CCCUGGGACAAUAUAAAACACUGUUGGAACAUUACUCUGCCCCUGUUGGUUGUUUGAACCUCCAAUAUGGCUGCAUUGUAAUACAGAAGGAGCAAGAUGGCCGCCACCCAACACAGGAGCACAAAGAUGGCUGCCUUCAACCCGUCCCUGCUCUUUGCCACAUCCAAUAUGGCUGCCAGUAACGUCAAGUUCCUGUUUAUCAGCUAUGAGAGAACUUGUUGCUUUACAUUGUGUGUUUGUUUGGCUUCCAUCAGGACAGAGGCAGCAGGAGACCCAUGUUGGACUGGGGCAGCCACUGCCAGGGAAACCAGACGCUUGUUGUACAUACUGGAAAUCGACUGGCACUCGUGGCAAGUACAAGCAAGCAAAUUUAUUUGUGGAUGUGCAACGUUUUGGGGAAACCCCUUUAUCAUGCCUGGGAUGGACACUGAUCUGCUGAGCCUGUGAUGGACGUCUCAGAGGGGCAGAAAUCAAAGAAUCCAAUAUAUGAAGUAGUGAUAGACACAGGGAUCUGCUGAGACUGUGAUGGACAUCCCAGAUGGGCCAGAAACCAUAGCACCCAGUAUAUGAAGUAGGGAUAAACACAGGAUCCAUAGAGCCUUUGAUGGACAACCCAGACUGGCCAGGAAACCAUAAAACCCAGUAUUUGAAGUAAGGAUAGACACAGGGAUCUGCAGAGCCUGUGAUGGACAUUUCAGAUGGGCCAAAAACCAUAGAACCCUGUAUUUGAAGUAAGGAUAGACAAAGGGAUUUGCUGAGCCUUUGAUGGACAACCCAGAUGGGCCAGGAAACCAUAAAACCCAGUACAUGACAUAAGGAUAGACACAGGGAUCCACAGAGCUUGUGAUGGACAACCCAGAUGGGCCAGGAAACCAUAGAACCCUGUAUUUGAAGUAAGGAUAGACACAGGGAUCUGCAGAGCCCGUGAUGGACAACCCAGAUGGGCCAGAAACCAUAGAACCAUGGAACCCAGUAAGUAAAGAAGCAUCAGGAUGAAGUAAGAUGGAAACAUAUGGCAGUUAGUGUAUGGGUAAUCUAGCAUGCACACCCAGGGGCAGUAAUCCGGACAUAGAAACAACUACCCCUGAGCAAGAAUUCAAUGGAACACUUAUGGUCUGGUUACAUUUAAGAACUGGGCAACCAAGUUGGUUGCGUGGGUUUUUAUUUCAAACCUUUUUUCCUUUGUAAGUUUCCCUCUUAACGAUAAAAUGUUUGCAGGAGUCAGCACACAUCAGGCCAUAGCAGUGAUAAUAAGAAGGAUAGUGCUUUUCAGCAUAUUAUGAAAAUUAUCCCACUAAAAGCCUAGUGCUUAGUAAUUAUAGCAAAUGCGCAUCUUUUUCUCUUUCUAAAAGUACUGGCAUUCACGUGUUCUGUAAUAUCCAUAAUAAAGAAUGUUUUAGCCCUCCAACCAAAAUGGAUGCAAAUGGCUAAUUAAGCUGAGACUGAAUUACCUAGCUGUAGGACAUGCACGAAGCCUUGAUCCAUAUACAAAGGAACAUUUCUCUUUUGGAACAUACCCAUAAGGCCUUGGUAUGAAGUUGUGUGGGGUAGCAGUUUCCCAAGGAGGAAACAACACCUGAUGCAGCAGAACUUCAGUUCCC